rnacentral:rRNA from 1 species
CUUUAGGAGGUCGGGCCUGCCCACUGAUUAGUUAAAGGGCCGUGGUAUACUGACCAUGCGAAGGUAGCAUAAUCAUUAGCCUUUUGAUUUGAGGCUGGAAUGAAUGGUCUGACGAGAGGCAACCUGUCUCCUUAAUUAACUUGAAUUUAAUUUUUAAGUGAAAAAGCUUAAAUAGCCUUGGAGGGCGAUAAGACCCUAUAGAUCUUUACAUCCGGUUCUUUCAUCUAACGGUGGGUAAUCAGGUGGAAGAGGAGGAUGUUUGGUUGGGGCGACGUCGAGGAGAGAACAAACACUCGAGAAUAUACAUACAUCAAUAAAUGAUCAUUGAUCCUUAGAUGAACAUAGAGUAAGUUACCUUAGGGAUAACAGCGUAAUUCUUUUUGAGAGCUCAAAUCGACAAAAGAGUUUGCGACCUCGAUGUUGGUUCAGGGACCCUAUUUGGUGCAGCAGCUUAAUCAGGUAGUCUGUUCGACUAUUAAACCCCUACG